AAACCGCCCCCUAAGUUUUGCAACUGUAGCAGUUUUGGCCCCCCAUGGCAAAAAAAAAAAACACGUGGCACCUCACUUAGGGUGCCACGUCAGCGUAGACCGAGUCAAAAUUGGCCUUGGGGGCCAAAACUGCCACAGGUGCAAAACUUAGGGGGCGGUUU
rnacentral:pre_miRNA from 1 species